GGCUCGUUGGUCUAGGGGUAUGAUUCUCGCUUAGGGUGCGACAGGUUCCGGGUUCAAAUCCCGGACGAGCCC
rnacentral:tRNA from 1 species